rnacentral:rRNA from 1 species
CGCCCCGCAGGGGAGCGGCAGACGGGUGAGUAACGCGUGGGAAUCUACCUAGCUCUACGGAAUAACCCAGGGAAACUUGGACUAAUACCGUAUACGUCCUUCGGGAGAAAGAUUUAUCGGAGUUGGAUGAGCCCGCGUUGGAUUAGCUAGUUGGUGGGGUAAUGGCCUACCAAGGCGACGAUCCAUAGCUGGUCUGAGAGGAUGAUCAGCCACACUGGGACUGAGACACGGCCCAGACUCCUACGGGAGGCAGCAGUGGGGAAUAUUGGACAAUGGGCGAAAGCCUGAUCCAGCCAUGCCGCGUGAGUGAUGAAGGCCCUAGGGUUGUAAAGCUCUUUCAACGGUGAAGAUAAUGACGGUAACCGUAGAAGAAGCCCCGGCUAACUUCGUGCCAGCAGCCGCGGUAAUACGAAGGGGGCUAGCGUUGUUCGGAAUUACUGGGCGUAAAGCGCACGUAGGCGGACUAUUAAGUCAGGGGUGAAAUCCCGGGGCUCAACCCCGGAACUGCCUUUGAUACUGGUAGUCUAGAGUCCGAGAGAGGUGAGUGGAAUUCCGAGUGUAGAGGUGAAAUUCGUAGAUAUUCGGAGGAACACCAGUGGCGAAGGCGGCUCACUGG